CUUGCGCUGACGAUGAGAAGGGUAAUCCUGCACAACUGGAGUGGCUGCACUCUCAGGACCGCAUUUUUAGGACCGCAUCUUUAGGACCCUAGUUUUUUGUGACAGCGUUACCUGUCGGAUUGGAUCAUGGAUGCGCUAAUGGACGACACGGAUGACAAGGAAAGUGCCAUCGUACAUCCUCUGGGUGUCUUGAGGAGCUGGUCUUUGGAUGAUGCUGAGCAGGUCUUUCUUUCUGGUAAAGAUUAUCAUUACAGGAGCUAAAGUCUACAGCCAGUCUGAAUGCAGCAACUGAAUAAACAGUGGAGUCAUUUUUGUGGUUGAAUUGCAUUAAUAAAAAUAAAAGUGUGGAUAUUUAUAUAAAUGUA